AGGGAGGGUAGAUAGCCUGGAGACGCUGGACAGAGAGGAUUAACCUCCUGGGGAUACUGAGGGGCUACUUGUGAGAUGGCAAAAAAGAGAUAUGGCAACCAGAAUUUCCCUCAGUCGCCCCUGACAAGUUCUCCUACAUCUUCACACAAAGUAAGAGGGCCGCCACUUCACAGUGAUCUCAGCACUCCUAAUACCAUUUGGAAAAUUCUGGACUUGGAUUAAGCACUACUCAGGCAGGACAGUUCACAGAUAUCUGUGAGCCAUGACUUAAGGCCCAUCAUCUCUGAAGCUAUUUCCAAGUUAGUUAGCAUCAUAUGGACAAACA
rnacentral:lncRNA from 1 species